UACGGAGGGUGCAAGCGUUAUCCGGAUUCACUGGGUUUAAAGGGUGCGUAGGUGGGUCUGUAAGUCCGUGGUGAAAUCUCCGAGCUUAACUUGGAAACUGCCAUGGAUACUAUAGGUCUUGAAUAUUGUGGAGGUCAGCGGAAUAUGUCAUGUAGCGGUGAAAUGCUUAGAUAUGACAUAGAACACCAAUUGCGAAGGCAGCUGGCUACACAUAUAUUGACACUGAGGCACGAAAGCGUGGGGAUCAAACAGG
rnacentral:rRNA from 1 species